UUCGUACUCUUUCCGUUCGUAAUUAUUUGUCGCAAAAAUGAAUGUAUCUAGACGUAUUUUAAUUCUAGAUACAUCUAUUUUUGAGACAAGUAAUUUCAAACGAAGGAGUACGUU
rnacentral:pre_miRNA from 1 species